rnacentral:rRNA from 1 species
UGCAUGUCGUGACGGACGUGACCGUAGCUUGCUCCCUGAUGUUAGCGGCGGACGGGUGAGUAACACGUGGGUAACCUGCCUGUAAGACUGGGAUAACUCCGGGAAACCGGGGCUAAUACCGGAUGCUUGUUUGAACCGCAUGGUUCAAACAUAAAAGGUGGCUUCGGCUACCACUUACAGAUGGACCCGCGGCGCAUUAGCUAGUUGGUGAGGUAAUGGCUCACCAAGGCAACGAUGCGUAGCCUACCUGAGAGGGAGAUCGGCCACACUGGGACUGAGACACGGCCCAGACUCCUACGGGAGGCAGCAGUAGGGAAUCUUCCGCAAUGGACGAAAGUCUGACGGAGCAACGCCGCGUGAGUGAUGAAGGUUUUCGGAUCGUAAAGCUCUGUUGUUAGGGAAGAACAAGUACCGUUCGAAUAGGGCGGUACCUUGACGGUACCUAACCAGAAAGCCACGGCUAACUACGUGCCAGCAGCCGCGGUAAUACGUAGGUGGCAAGCGUUGUCCGGAAUUAUUGGGCGUAAAGGGCUCGCAGGCGGUUUCUUAAGUCUGAUGUGAAAGCCCCCGGCUCAACCGGGGAGGGUCAUUGGAAACUGGGGAACUUGAGUGCAGAAGAGGAGAGUGGAAUUCCACGUGUAGCGGUGAAAUGCGUAGAGAUGUGGAGGAACACCAGUGGCGAACGCGACUCUCUGGUCUGUAACUGACGCUGAGGAGCGAAAGCGUGGGGAGCGAACAGGAUUAGAUACCCUGGUAGUCCACGCCCGUAAACGAUGAGUGCUAAGUGUUAGGGGGUUUCCGCCCCCUUAGUGCUGCAGCUAACGCACUAAAGCACUCCGCCCGGGGGAGUACUGUCGCAAGACUG